GGGGUCAAUUUAUAUUGAAGAAUGAAAGUACCGGUAGUGGAGUAAUCAGAAGGAAUAGAGGGGAGAAAGAAGAGGAGGAGAACAGUAAAACAUCAGUGAAUGCAGCUGCCUCUGCUUCAGUUUACGCUAGUCUAGAGUCUCGGCCAGCAUCUGUCUAUGAGGUCUUGACCCCAGGAGCAUCAGCAGCAGCAGUAAACCGUGAAUCUGUCCAGAGGAAAGGAAAAAUGGAGAAUGCAACGCCACAAGGGGAAGUAAUAUUUGAAUGCGUCUAUGAGAAUUUCUGACCUAAUGGCAUCUGCACUGUGUUUGGGAAUCUAUAUGCCUCUAUUUUCCUGCCUUUGCAAUGUCUCUUGUUCUUUUACACAGACCUAAAAUCACGUCUGUAUUUUUACCCUGCAACUUC